GGUGGGAGUGGUCAUUACAUUGAAUAAGAAGGCUUUGUUUCAUUAGGUUUAUACACUGCACAUUACUUACUGUAAGGAGUCUUUGUCUAAACAUUUUAGGGCAAACAUUACACUACUGAUAGUUGUUUUUAUUUCAGGAAAGUAGAUGUCAAGAUCUUAUUAGAUGAAAUGUGGACACAAUUCUCACUGCAUGCACUAUUGAUCAUCCUACCAUGUCUGUGUCUAGGACUGAAAGUUGAACAAGGUUCUAAACUCAAGAUUGUUAAUGUUGGAGAACCAGUGGAACUUCACUGUAUUUAUGAUGACAGCAGCAAGCCCGGAAUGCUUUGGUACCAGCAGCGAGACGGAGAGGGACUGAAGCUCAUGAUAUAUUCUGCUACUGAUAAUUCUAAGUCUGAUGCAAUGGAAGAUGGGUUUGAGGCGUGGGAGUGGAAAAGGCCUACUCUUCUUAAUGCCACCUUGACAUUGUCAAAAUCGCAGACUACAGAUUCGGCUGUAUAUUUCUGUGCAGUCAGUGUACACAGUUGCAAAUCUCUGAGAAACACUGAUCAUAAAACCUGCAGCUUAAUUCAGCACCACUAAAAGGGACAGCUCCAGAGGGGGAACAAUGCAACGCAGUAACUGAAUGAUUCCAUAACGAGAGCUAGGCUUGCAUCUGGCUAUUGAAUUGUAUUUGCAAAUGGUUAUAGAAUUCCAUCUCAGGAGAAAUUGCAUAUUUAAGAGGUGAGAGAACAGUGUAAAAAAU